AGAGGUGAAAUGAUAUGGACACCCAAUGGAAAACCCAGCUCAUGUCUCCGACAAAUUCAACCCCAGAAGCCACUUGGUAGACGUCAUCUCCACUUUGGCAAAUUUGCUAAACUCGAAAACUUUCAGAGUGAGCAUCAGCUUGGAUUAGAGAUUGAAUCGGAGAUGGAGAUCAAUUCUAUCAGCUCGAUUCAGAGGUGGAGUCAUAAUAUCCUGCCCCAUAUGAGUAAAGGGGGUUACAUCCUGAUUCUGCACUUCAAACAAUCCGGGAUGUGUAUUGGCACUCUUUAUCAAAAUUUGGUGCAAUUUUUGGUCUCCGUAUUCUUCCAUUUCCUUUGUUGGGAUUGCAUUGCUUCUCUCCUGAACGCCUGGUGAGCACUACAACGGGUGCAAGUGUAAGGAAGGACUUUGACAGUGAACGCCAUUUCACCGCUGGGAUUCAGUUGACAAGGUGGGUCCGGAGAAGUGAAAAGCUUCAGCUCUUGGUCUUCAAGUUUCUGAUCUCCUUCCCUCCUUGCUUGCAGGUUGCUAGAAGUAUUGGUCUGUUCUUUGUGUGGCUUGUUUUGCAAGUGGUGCAAGGCCAUUUGUUUUGUUGCUGUGGAAAGGAACGCAGGAGGUAGAAGGCUUUUGGUGGUGACCGUUGUUGGUCUGCAAAACAGCUGUUGUGGAAGCAAAUGGGCAUUGGAGCCUUGUAUGUUGACACUCUGUUUGCUGCUGCAAAGCACUUGUUAGUACUCAACAAGGCUUAAAAAGAAAUUCCACCAGAUUGGUCAUGCACUUGUUGAUACACAUGUAUCGUAAACGAGAUUGCGACCGCUCCGGGGACCUCCAUAGCUCCAUGGUGACACAAGUAAAAGAGACGCUGUAAAAAGAAAAGAAGUACCACUGGUGGAUCAGAGAGACCUCAACCUUUGUAUCUGCUUGUUGGCUCCUCGACACUUGUUGGCCCCUUGAAGCACGAUCAAAAUCUCUGAACGCUUCUCCUUCUUUUGUAGCAAGGCUUCGCCUCUUUCUUGAUGUAUUUCUUGUUUCUUCUCUCCAGCCUUUUCUACUGCCGCUCUCUAGCCUUUUAUGCUUCUGCUCGCCUCCUCGUUUGAUGCAAAAUCCUCCAUUUUAUAUGGACUUGGGAUCAGCUAGAGAUAAGCUUCGAGGAUAUCCAAAAUUUGAAUUUGAAUGGAUUCCAUAAACUUCAAAUUUCAAAUAUGUGAUCCUGAGCUCCGUUGAGGUUGUUAGUUUCUUUUAUUUCAA